rnacentral:rRNA from 1 species
GUGGGGAAUCUUGCGCAAUGGGCGAAAGCCUGACGCAGCCAUGCCGCGUGAAUGAUGAAGGUCUUAGGAUUGUAAAAUUCUUUCACCGGGGAAGAUAAUGACGGUACCCGGAGAAGAAGCCCCGGCUAACUUCGUGCCAGCAGCCGCGGUAAUACGAAGGGGGCUAGCGUUGCUCGGAAUUACUGGGCGUAAAGGGCGCGUAGGCGGACAUUUAAGUCAGAGGUGAAAGCCCAGGGCUCAACCUUGGAAUUGCCUUUGAUACUGGAUGUCUUGAGUUCGGGAGAGGUGAGUGGAAUGCCGAGUGUAGAGGUGAAAUUCGUAGAUAUUCGGCGGAACACCAGUGGCGAAGGCGACUCACUGGCCCGAUACUGACGCUGAGGCGCGAAAGCGUGGGGAGCAAACAGGAUUAGAAACCCCGGUAGUCC